GACAAUAAGCUUGGACAGGGUGGAUAUGGACCUGUUUACAAGGGAAAGUUGCCCAAAGGACAGUACAUUGCAGUGAAGAGACUCUCGAAAACUUCAAACCAAGGGCUCGAGGAGUUCAAGAACGAAGUUAUGCUCACUGCCAGACUGCAACAUGUCAACCUUGUUCGUCUUCUUGGAUUUUGUACUGACAGGGAAGAAAAGAUGUUGAUCUAUGAGUACAUGCCAAAUAAGAGCUUGGACUUAUACCUAUUUGAUCCAAUAAGGAAAUAUUCGUUGGAUUGGGUGAAACGUGUUCAUAUCAUAGAAGGCAUUACACAAGGGCUUCUUUAUCUCCA